GAUAAUACCUUACUACUUGGAUAACCGUGGUAAUUCUAGAGCUAAUACAUGCUAAAAAUCCCGACUUCGGAAGGGUUGUAUUUAUUAGAUUAAAAACCAAUGCCCUUCGGGGCUCUCUGGUGAAUCAUGAUAACUAGUCGAAUCGACAGGCCUUGUGCCGGCGAUGGCUCAUUCAAAUUUCUUCCCUAUCAACUUUCGAUGUUUGGGUAUUGGCCAAACAUGGUGGCAACGGGUAACGGAGGGUUAGGGCUCGACCCCGGAGAAGGAGCCUGAGAAACGGCUACUACAUCCAAGGAAGGCAGCAGGCGCGCAAAUUACCCAAUCCCGACACGGGGAGGUAGUGACAAUAAAUACUGAUACAGGGCUCUUUUGGGUCUUGUAAUCGGAAUGAGUACAAUUUAAAUCCCUUAACGAGGAACAAUUGGAGGGCAAGUCUGGUGCCAGCAGCCGCGGUAAUUCCAGCUCCAAUAGCGUAUAUUAAAGUUGUUGUGGUUAAAAAGCUCGUAGUUGAACCUUGGGCCUGGCUGGCCGGUCCGCCUCACCGCGUGCACUGGUCCGGCCGGGCCUUUCCCUCUGCGGAACCCCAUGCCCUUCACUGGGCGUGGCGGGGAAACAGGACUUUUACUUUGAAAAAAUUAGAGUGCUCAAGGCAGGCCUAUGCUCGAAUACAUUAGCAUGGAAUAAUGAAAUAGGACGUUGCGGUUCUAUUUUGUUGGUUUCUAGGACCGCCGUAAUGAUUAAUAGGGACAGUCGGGGGCAUCAGUAUUCAAUUGUCAGAGGUGAAAUUCUUGGAUUUAUUGAAGACUAACUACUGCGAAAGCAUUUGCCAAGGAUGUUUUCAUUAAUCAGGAACGAAAGUUAGGGGAUCGAAGACGAUCAGAUACCGUCGUAGUCUUAACCAUAAACUAUGCCGACUAGGGAUCGGACGAUGUUAUAUUUUUUGACGCGUUCGGCACCUUACGAGAAAUC
rnacentral:rRNA from 1 species